rnacentral:rRNA from 1 species
CCUACGGGAGGCAGCAGUGAGGAAUAUUGGUCAAUGGGCGGGAGCCUGAACCAGCCAAGUCGCGUGAGGGAAGACGGUCCUAUGGAUUGUAAACCUCUUUAGGCGGGGAGCAAUGACGGGCACGCGUGCCCGGAGGGAGAGUACCCGCAGAAUAAGCAUGGGCUAACUCCGUGCCAGCAGCCUCGGUAAUACGGAGGAUGCGAGCGUUAUCCGGAUGUAUUGGGGUUAAAGGGUGCGUAGGCGGAUUUUUAAGUCAGCGGUAAAAUGUCCGGGCUCAACCCGGGCCGGCCGUUGAAACUGGGGAUCUUGAGUGGGCGAGAAGUAUGCGGAAUGCGUGGUGUAGCGGUGAAAUGCAUAGAUAUCACGCAGAACUCCGAUUGCGAAGGCAGCAUACCGGCGCCCGACUGACGCUGAGGCACGAAAGCGUGGGGAUCGAACAGGAUUAGAUACCCGAGUAGUC